rnacentral:rRNA from 1 species
GCAAGUCGAACGAGAAAGUUCCUUCGGGAAUGAGUACAGUGGCGCACGGGUGAGUAACACGUAGGUGACCUACCUUUUAGUGGAGGACAACCUUAGGAAACUGAGGCUAAUACUGCAUACGUUGAGCAAUUAUAGAAGUAGCUCAAGAAAGACUUCGGUCGCUAAAAGAAGGGCUUGCGGACCAUUAACUUGAUGGUGGGGUAAUGGCCUACCAUGGUUUCGAUGGUUAGCUGGUCUGAGAGGAUGAUC